UACGUAGGGGGCAAGCGUUGUCCGGAAUCAUUGGGCGUAAAGCGCGCGUAGGCGGCCCUGUAAGUCCGUUGUGAAAGUCAAGGCUCAACCUUUGAAAGCCGAUGGAUACUGCAGGGCUAGAGUCCGGAAGAGGCGAGUGGAAUUCCUGGUGUAGCGGUGGAAUGCGCAGAUAUCAGGAGGAACACCAUAGCGAAGGCAGCUCGCUGGGACGGUACUGACGCUAAGGCGCGAAAGCGUGGGAGCGAACGAGGA
rnacentral:rRNA from 1 species